GGUGUCUUAAGUAAUGUAAGGCAUCCUGGUACACUAUAUUGCACUGUCAGGUACUUCUGCUCUCCGUUGGUUGUGGGUUUAGAGGGAACAGGGCUGGCAUGUGCUAAAAUACUUACCAGCCAUAGACUCCAUAUACAGAUAAUGAAUGUUGACCCCACUAUGACGUGUUAUCUUUUCCCAAAGCUCAAUAACUGAAUAAAGGCUCUAAAUUUUGCAGGGUAAAGAUAUCCCCUCUGUAGUUUGAAGUGGGAGGGCUGCUGUCAUGGAACACAUCUGUCUGUAACUGUAUUUAUUUGUUUUGAACUUUUAAAACUUACUUGUAUAUUCCAACUUUCUCUUUGUGCUACUACAGCCAAAAGAGUAAGCCCAGAAUCUUUUCUUUAAAUAAGAAAAUGUUUUAAAUAAGAUAUGUGAAUAAAAAAAUUUUCAAUAAGAAAAUAUGUGUUUGGUUAUUUACUGCUUUCAAAUCAGUGGACAAACAAUAACAGUUUUACUUAUAUAUUUCUUGAAAUGAACUGAUUUGUAUUGAAUUCUGAGAAAAAUAUGUGAUUUUUCCAGACUUGGGAGUAUCUGAUGGCUGCCUAAUAAAUUUAACAGCUACGCCUGCAAGCUCUGUCCUAGAUCCCACGUUAUUCUCCUGGGACAUUGGACAGAUCUUACUUCAAAAGAGAGCUGAAAAGGAAGAGGAACUGAAAAAAGCAUUUCAGAUGCUUGAUGUUGGUUGGACCCUGACAGUCACAAAGGGUGAAUUCAGGAGAGUGAUUGGAACCUUUCUCUUCCAUCUAACAGAAGCUGAAUUUGAUGCUGUGCUGGCAGAGGUUGAACAGCCAGAGUCGCCAAACAAUGACAUUAAGUCAGCUGGAAACCCUGCUCAAAGAGAAGCACUAAUCUGCCAGAAAAUAAAAGAGAAGGAACAGAAGCAGAAAAAACUUUUUCUCCAGUCUUCACCAGCAAACGUUUUCCUACAGCCAUCACCAGCUGAGCGUGCUGUGACAGAGCACGGUCUGGAUAGCACCGAGAGGCAUUUAGAGAAAAGCUGUGUUCAGCCUAUGAGGACAUUGAAAAAGCCUUCAGAGCAAUUGAUGUCAGUCAGAGUGGAUUUGUGUCUUUGGAUUACUUGA
rnacentral:lncRNA from 1 species